AUUGAACGCUGGCGGCAUGCCUUACACAUGCAAGUCGAACGGUAACAGGUCUUCGGAUGCUGACGAGUGGCGAACGGGUGAGUAAUACAUCGGAACGUGCCUAGUAGUGGGGGAUAACUACUCGAAAGAGUGGCUAAUACCGCAUGAGAUCUACGGAUGAAAGCAGGGGAUCGCAAGACCUUGUGCUACUAGAGCGGCCGAUGGCAGAUUAGGUAGUUGGUGGGAUAAAAGCUUACCAAGCCGACGAUCUGUAGCUGGUCUGAGAGGACGAUCAGCCACACUGGGACUGAGACAGGGCCCAGAGUCCUACGGGGGGCAGCAGUGGGGAAUUUUGGACAAUGGGCGCAAGCCUGAUCCAGCAAUGCCGCGUGCAGGAUGAAGGCCUUCGGGUUGUAAACUGCUUUUGUACGGAACGAAAAGCCCUGGGUUAAUACCCUGGGGUCAUGACGGUACCGUAAGAAUAAGCACCGGCUAACUACGUGCCAGCAGCCGCCGUAACAC
rnacentral:rRNA from 1 species